rnacentral:sRNA from 1 species
AGGGGCCUUGCCUGGGUUAUCUCGAAAA